AAUACAGGAAACCCAGUUAAAUUCAAAUUUCAGAUAAUCAGUGAACAAUUUUUUAGUAUAAGUAUGUCCCAUGACAUACUUGGGACAUACUUAUACUAAAAAAUUGUUUGUUGUUUAUCUGAAAUUCAAAUUGAACUGAGUGUCCUAUAUUUU
ensembl:miRNA